ACGGCUCAGUAACACGUGGCUAACCUGCCCUUGGGACGAGAAUAACCCCGGGAAACUGGGGCUAACUCACGAUAGGUGACGAACUCUGGAAUGAGUCGUAGCCUAAAAGGUGUCGGAUCAUGCUUUCGGCAUCGCCCAAGGAUGGGGCCGCGUCCGAUCAGGUUGUUGGUGAGGUAAUGGCUCACCAAGCCUUUUACCGGUGCGGGCCGUGAGAGCGGGUGCCCGGAGAUGGGCACUGAGACAAGGGCCCAGGUCCUACGGGGCGCAGCAGUCGCGAAAACUUUGCAAUACACGAAAGUGUGACAGGGUCAUCCCGAGUGCCGACCGCUGAGGUWGRCUUUUACCCAGUCUAGAAAGCUGGGGGAAUAAGGAGAGGGCAAGUCUGGUGUCAGCCGCCGCGGUAAUACCAGCUCUCCGAGUGGUGUGGACGUUUAUUGGGCCUAAAGCAUCCGUAGCUGGCUGGGCAAGUCCCCUGUUAAAUCCACCGAUUUAAUCGUUGGUGUGCGGGGGAUACUGCUCGGCUAGGGGACGAGAGAGGCAAGUGGUAUUCCCGGGGUAGGGGUGAAAUCCUAUAAUCCCGAGAAGACCACCAGUGGCGAAGGCUGCUUGCUAGAACGCGCCCGACGGUGAGGGAUGAAAGCUGGGGGAGCGAACCGGAUUAGAUACCCGGGUAGUCCCAGCUGUAAACGAUGCAGACGCUCUUUUGGACGGCCACGUGCCGUUCUAGUGCCGCAGGGAAGCUGUUAAGUCUGCCGCCCUGGGG
rnacentral:rRNA from 1 species